rnacentral:rRNA from 1 species
GAUGAACGCUGGCGGCGUGCCUAAUACAUGCAAGUCGAGCGAACAGACGAGGAGCUUGCUCCUCUGACGUUAGCGGCGGACGGGUGAGUAACACGUGGAUAACCUACCUAUAAGACUGGGAUAACUUCGGGAAACCGGAGCUAAUACCGGAUAAUAUAUUGAACCGCAUGGUUCAAUAGUGAAAGACGGUUUUGCUGUCACUUAUAGAUGGAUCCGCGCCGCAUUAGCUAGUUGGUAAGGUAACGGCUUACCAAGGCAACGAUGCGUAGCCGACCUGAGAGGGUGAUCGGCCACCCUGGAACUAAGACACGGUCCAGACUCCUACGGGAGGCAGCAGUAGGGAAUCUUCCGCAAUGGGCGAAAGCCUGACGGAGCAACGCCGCGUGAGUGAUGAAGGUCUUCGGAUCGUAAAACUCUGUUAUUAGGGAAGAACAAAUGUGUAAGUAACUAUGCACGUCUUGACGGUACCUAAUCAGAAAGCCACGGCUAACUACGUG